rnacentral:rRNA from 1 species
UGGGGAAUAUUGGACAAUGGGGGAAACCCUGAUCCAGCCAUGCCGCGUGAGUGAUGAAGGCCUUCGGGUUGUAAAGCUCUUUUGUCAGGGAAGAUAAUGACGGUACCUGAAGAAUAAGCCCCGGCUAACUUCGUGCCAGCAGCCGCGGUAAUACGAAGGGGGCUAGCGUUGUUCGGAAUUACUGGGCGUAAAGGGCGCGUAGGCGGCUCUGUAAGUCAGGAGUGAAAUCCCUAGGCUCAACCUAGGAAUUGCUUUUGAGACUAUAGGGCUUGAGUACAGGAGAGGUGAGUGGAAUUCCCAGUGUAGAGGUAAAAUUCGUAGAUAUUGGGAGGAACACCAGUGGCGAAGGCGGCUCACUGGCCUGUAACUGACGCUGAGGCGCGAAAGCGUGGGGAGCAAACGG